GGUGUAGCUCAGUUUGGUAGAGCGCUUGGUUCGGGACCAAGAGGCCGUGGGUUCAAGUCCCGCCACU
rnacentral:tRNA from 1 species